rnacentral:rRNA from 1 species
UACGGAGGAUGCGAGCGUUAUCCGGAUUUAUUGGGUUUAAAGGGUGCGUAGGCGGAAUAUCAAGUCAGCGGUAAAAAUUCGGGGCUCAACCCCGUCGUGCCGUUGAAACUGAUGUUCUAGAGUGUGCGAGAGGUAUGCGGAAUGCGUGGUGUAGCGGUGAAAUGCAUAGAUAUCACGCAGAACCCCGAUUGCGAAGGCAGCAUACCGGUGCACAACUGACGCUCAGGCACGAAAGCGUGGGGAGCAAACAGG